GCUGGGCUAGCUCAGUCGACAGAGCAUGAGACUGUUAAUCUCAGGGUCGUGGGUUCAUGCCCCACAUUGGGCA
rnacentral:tRNA from 1 species